UACGUAGGGGGCGAGCGUUGUCCGGAGUUACUGGGCGUAAAGGGCAUGCAGGCGGUCGGACGCGUUUCGGGUGACAGCGGGUGGCUUAACUACCCGAGUGGUCGAAAGACGGUUUGACUUGAGGACGCGAGAGGGACACGGAAUUCCGGGUGGAGUGGUGAAAUGCGUAGAGAUCCGGAGGAACACCGAAGGCGAAGGCAGUGUCCUGGCGCGUAACUGACGCUGAGGUGCGAAAGCCAGGGGAGCGGACGGG
rnacentral:rRNA from 1 species